rnacentral:rRNA from 1 species
AGCGAACGCUGGCGGCAGGCUUAACACAUGCAAGUCGAGCGGACCUUUCGGGGUCAGUGGCGGACGGGUGAGUAACGCGUGGGAACGUGCCUUCCGGUUCGGAAUAACCCUGGGAAACUAGGGCUAAUACCGGAUACGCCCUUAUGGGGAAAGGUUUACUGCCGGAAGAUCGGCCCGCGUCUGAUUAGCUAGUUGGUGGGGUAACGGCCUACCAAGGCGACGAUCAGUAGCUGGUCUGAGAGGAUGAUCAGCCACACUGGGACUGAGACACGGCCCAGACUCCUACGGGAGGCUGCAGUGGGGAAUAUUGGACAAUGGGCGCAAGCCUGAUCCAGCCAUGCCGCGUGAGUGAUGAAGGCCUUAGGGUUGUAAAGCUCUUUUAUCCGGGACGAUAAUGACGGUACCGGAGGAAUAAGCCCCGGCUAACUUCGUG